UACGGGGGGGGUAAGCGUUGUUCGGAAUUACUGGGCGUAAAGGGCUCGUAGGCGGCCAACUAAGUCAUACGUGAAAUCCCUCAGCUUAACUGGGGAACUGCGUGUGAUACUGGAUGGCUUGGAUUUGGGAGAGGGAUGCGGAAUUCCAGGUGUAGCGGUGAAAUGCGUAGAUAUCAGGAGGAACACCGGUGGCGAAGGCGGGUCUCUGGGAAGUAACUGACGCUGAGGAGCGAAAGCGUGGGGAGCGAACAGG
rnacentral:rRNA from 1 species